rnacentral:rRNA from 1 species
GAUGAACGCUGGCGGCGUGCCUAAUACAUGCAAGUCGAGCGAACAGACGAGGAGCUUGCUCCUCUGACGUUAGCGGCGGACGGGUGAGUAACACGUGGAUAACCUACCUAUAAGACUGGGAUAACUUCGGGAAACCGGAGCUAAUACCGGAUAAUAUAUUGAACCGCAUGGUUCAAUAGUGAAAGACGGUUUUGCUGUCACUUAUAGAUGGAUCCGCGCCGCAUUAGCUAGUUGGUAAGGUAACGGCUUACCAAGGCAACGAUGCGUAGCCGACCUGAGAGGGUGGUAGGCCACACUGGAACUGAGACACGGUCCAGACUCCUAAGGGAGGCAGCAGUAGGGAAUCUUCCGCAAUGGGCGAAAGCUUGACGGAGCAACGCCGCGUGAGUGAUGAAGGUCUUCGGAUCGUAAAACUCUGUUAUUAGGGAAGAACAAAUGUGUAAGUAACUAUGCACGUCGUGACGGUACCUAAUCAGAAAGCCACGGCUAACUACGUG